AUUGAACGCUGGCGGCAGGCCUAACACAUGCAAGUCGAACGAGUGGCGGACGGGUGAGUAAUGUCUGGGAAACUGCCUGAUGGAGGGGGAUAACUACUGGACACGGUAGCUAAUACCGCAUAGCCUAGGAUAGGCCCAGAUGUGAUUAGCGAGUAGGUGGGGGAAAGGCUCACAUAGGCGACGAUCCCUAGCUUGUCUGAGAGGAUGACCAUCCAAACUGGAACUGAGACACGGUCCAGACUCCUACGGGAGGCAGCAGUGGGGAAUAUUGCACAAUGGGCGCAAGCCUGAUGCAGCCAUGCCGCGUGUAGGAAGAAGGCCUUCGGGUUGUAAAGUACUUUCAGCGGGGAGGCGUUACCCGCAGAAGAAGCACCGGCUAACUCCGUGCCAGCAGCCGCGGUAAUAC
rnacentral:rRNA from 1 species